rnacentral:SRP_RNA from 1 species
CGAGGUCGGCUUCACAGCGGAGGGAGCUGCCACUCCUGGUGGCGAAUGGAUUGUUGUCCACGGCG